rnacentral:rRNA from 1 species
ACGAUGAACGCGAUAUACAGGCUUAACACAUGCAAGUCGAGGGGCAGCAUGAUCGAAGCUUGCUUUGAUUGAUGGCGACCGGCGCACGGGUGCGUAACGCGUAUCCAAUCUACCCUACACACAGGGAGAGCCCAUCGAAAGAUGGAUUAAUACCUGAUAGUUUAGAGCGACCGCAUGAUUGCUUUAAUAAAGAUUUAUCGGUGUAGGAUGAGGAUGCGACUGAUUAGAUAGUUGGCGGGGUAACGGCCCACCAAGUCAACGAUCAGUAGGGGUUCUGAGAGGAAGGUCCCCCACAUUGGAACUGAGACACGGUCCAAACUCCUACGGGAGGCAGCAGUGAGGAAUAUUGGUCAAUGGACGAGAGUCUGAACCAGCCAAGUAGCGUGAAGGAUGACUGCCCUAUGGGUUGUAAACUUCUUUUGUUUGGGAAUAAAGUGCGGGACGUGUCCCGCUUUGUAUGUACCUUACGAAUAAGCAUCGGCUAAUUCCGUGCCAGCAGCCGCGGUAAUACGGAAGAUGCGAGCGUUAUCCGGAUUUAUUGGGUUUAAAGGGAGCGUAGGCGGACUGGUAAGUCAGCGGUCAAAUGUCAGGGCCCAACCUUGGCAUGCCGUUGAUACUGUUGGUCUUGAGUUCACGCAAGGUAAGUGGAAUUCGUUGUGUAGCGGUGAAAUGCUUAGAUAUGACGAAGAACUCCGAUUGCGAAGGCAGCUUACUGGAGUGUUACUGACGCUGAGGCUCGAAAGUGCGGGAAUCAAACAGGAUUAGAUACCCUGGUAGUCCGCACCGUAAACGAUGAAUGCUCGUCAUUGGCGAUACACAGUCAGUGACUGAGGGAAACCAUUAAGCAUUCCACCUGGGGAGUACGCCGGCAACGGUGAAACUCAAAGGAAUUGACGGGGGCCCGCACAAGCGGAGGAACAUGUGGUUUAAUUCGAUGAUACGCGAGGAACCUUACCCGGGCUUGAAUUGUGUCUGACCGACUCAGAGAUGAGUUUUCCCUUCGGGGCAGGCAUGAAGGUGCUGCAUGGUUGUCGUCAGCUCGUGCCGUGAGGUGUCGGCUUAAGUGCCAUAACGAGCGCAACCCUUGCUGUCAGUUGCCAUCAGGUUAUGCUGGGCACUCUGGCGGGACUGCCAUCGCAAGAUGUGAGGAAGGUGGGGAUGACGUCAAAUCAGCACGGCCCUUACGUCCGGGGCUACACACGUGUUACAAUGGGGGGCACAGCGCGCCGCUACCUGGUGACAGGUUGCCAAUCGUGAAAUCCCCUCUCAGUUCGGACUGGAGUCUGCAACCCGACUC